rnacentral:rRNA from 1 species
GAUGAACGCUGGCGGCGUGCUUAACACAUGCAAGUCGAACGAAGAUGCCGGAGUGCUUGCACUUUGGCAGACUGAGUGGCGGACGGGUGAGUAACGCGUGGGUAACCUGCCUUAUACAGGGGGAUAACAGUUGGAAAUGACUGCUAAUACCGCAUAAGCGCACAGGAUUGCAUGAUCUAGUGUGAAAAACUCCGGUGGUAUAAGAUGGACCCGCGUCUGAUUAGCUGGUUGGUGAGGUAACGGCCCACCAAGGCGACGAUCGGUAGCCGGACUGAGAGGUUGAACGGCCACAUUGGGACUGAGACACGGCCCAGACUCCUACGGGAGGCAGCAGUGGGGAAUAUUGCACAAUGGGGGAAACCCUGAUGCAGCGACGCCGCGUGGAGGAAGAAGGUCUUCGGAUUGUAAACUCCUGUUGUUGAGGAAGAUAAUGACGGUACCAACAAGGAAGCGACGGCUAACUACGUGCCAGCAGCCGCGG